rnacentral:rRNA from 1 species
UUCCCAUUCCUUUAUGGAAGUAAGAUCCGUUAAAGAUGAUGACGUAGAUAGGCUGCGGGUGGAAGAGUAGUGAUACUUGGAGCUGAGCAGUACUAAUAGAUCGAGGACUUAACCGAG